rnacentral:rRNA from 1 species
GACGAACGCUGGCGGCGUGCCUAAUACAUGCAAGUCGAACGCAGUGGGGACGGGUGAGUAACACGUGGGUAACCUCCCAUCAGAGGGGAUAACACUUGGAAACAGGUGCUAAACCGAUACUGAUGGAUGGACCCGCGGUGCAUUAGCCAGCUGGUGAGGUAUCGGAUCACCAGGGCCACGAUGCAUAGCAAACCUGAGAGGGUGAGCGGCCGCACUGGAACUGAGACACAGCCCAGACUCCUACGGAAGGCAGCGUUGGAGAAUCUUCGGCAAUGGACGAAAGUCUGACCGAGCAACGCCGCGUGAGUGAAGAAGGUUUUCAGAUCGUAAAGCUCUGUUGUUAGGGAAGCGGUAUCUAACCAGAAUGCCACGGCUAACUACGUGCCAGCAGCCGCGGUAAUUC